CCCUUAGAUGUUCUGGGCCGCACGCGCGCUACACUGAUGCAUUCAACGAGCCUAUCCUUGACCGACAGGUCCGGGUAAUCUUUGAAUCUGCAUCGUGACGGGGAUAGAUUAUUGCAAUUAUUAAUCUUCAACGAGGAAUGCCUAGUAGGCGCAAGUCAUCAGCUUGCGUCGAUUACGUCCCUGCCCUUUGUACACACCGCCCGUCGCUCCUACCGAUUGGGUGUGCUGGUGAAAUGUUCGGAUCGGCCGUUUGUCGCGGUUUCCGCGGCUCGUGGCUGAGAAGUUCAUUAAACCCUCCCACCUAGAGGAUGGAGAAGUCGUAACA
rnacentral:rRNA from 1 species